GGCCGCGGGAAUUCGAUUAGGCCUAACACAUGCAAGUCGAGCGGUAGAGAGAAGCUUGCUUCUCUUGAGAGCGGCGGACGGGUGAGUAAUGCCUAGGAAUCUGCCUGGUAGUGGGGGAUAACGUUCGGAAACGGACGCUAAUACCGCAUACGUCCUACGGGAGAAAGCAGGGGACCUUCGGGCCUUGCGCUAUCAGAUGAGCCUAGGUCGGAUUAGCUAGUUGGUGAGGUAAUGGCUCACCAAGGCAACGAUCCGUAACUGGUCUGAGAGGAUGAUCAGUCACACUGGAACUGAGACACGGUCCAGACUCCUACGGGAGGCAGCAGUGGGGAAUAUUGGACAAUGGGCGAAAGCCUGAUCCAGCCAUGCCGCGUGUGUGAAGAAGGUCUUCGGAUGUAAAUUAAAGGAAGUUGGGAGGAAGGGCAGUUACCUAAUACGUGA
rnacentral:rRNA from 1 species